rnacentral:rRNA from 1 species
UACGUAGGGCGCAAGCGUUGUCCGGAAUUAUUGGGCGUAAAGAGCUCGUAGGCGGCUUGUCACGUCGAUUGUGAAAGCCCGAGGCUUAACCUCGGGUCUGCAGUCGAUACGGGCUAGCUAGAGUGUGGUAGGGGAGAUCGGAAUUCCUGGUGUAGCGGUGGAAUGCGCAGAUAUCAGGAGGAACACCGAUGGCGAAGGCAGAUCUCUGGGCCGUAACUGACGCUGAGGAGCGAAAGCGUGGGGAGCGAACAGG